GGGCUCGUAGCUCAGCUUGGCUAGAGCGUUCGACUGAUAAUCGAAAGGCCAUGAGUUCGAAUCUCAUCGGGCCCAC
rnacentral:tRNA from 1 species